CCUACGGGUGGCAGCAGUGAGGAAUAUUGGUCAAUGGACGAGAGCCUGAACCAGCCAAGUAGCGUGAAGGAUGACUGCCCUAUGGGUUGUAAACUUCUUUUAUAUGGGAAUAAAAUGUUCCACGUGUGGGAUUUUGUAUGUACCAUAUGAAUAAGGAUCGGCUAAUUCCGUGCCAGCAGCCGCGGUAAUACGGAGGAUCCGAGCGUUAUCCGGAUUUAUUGGGUUUAAAGGGAGCGUAGGUGGGUUGUUAAGUCAGUUGUGAAAGUUUGCGGCUCAACCGUAAAAUUGCAGUUGAAACUGGCAGUCUUGAGUACAGUAGCGGUAGGCGGAAUUCGUGGUGUAGCGGUGAAAUGCUUAGAUAUCACGAAGAACUCCGAUUGCGAAGGCAGCUCACUGGACUGCAACUGACACUGAGGCUCGAAAGUGUGGGUAUCAAACAGGAUUAGAUACCCGGGUAGUC
rnacentral:rRNA from 1 species